CUGGCCCAGCCACAGGGCAGCCCGGGGCAGAAGGAGAGAGUGUUUUCUCCAAAAUCCUGCCAGGGGGGGCAGCGGAACAAGCAGGCAAACUGACUGAAGCGGUGUCGGCUUUUGGCAAGAAGUUCACUUCGUUCUGGUGAGAGAACGGCACAAGGAGUUUGGGAAGUGAGUGGAGAUUGAGUUGUUGCAGUAGAAAAACCUAUGAAGAAGCCAACGAAUUCAGCAUUCAGCGCCAGACUCUGAGUAUAAGGCUUUUGAAAGCAGGGCGAUCCCUGGAUGCUGGACCAAACGGCGGCCAAGUGGGGGCCUGGUGAACACCCCAGGGUGGAUAAGCUGCUCCGACAUGGCAGGUGGCAAGCCCCAGCACCGAGUGGGUGGAUGCACCCUCUGCCCCCCACAGCCACUCUGAGGGGAUAGGCCUGAUCCAAACAGUUGGGUCAGGCCCCAUAGGUGGGCUGCGGCCCUUUCUCAAGAUUAUACGCAGAGUUGCUCCCUCUGAACCCCAGCUCUGGCCUCUUCAUAGGUUUUUCCCUCCGCAAGCCGAGGGCUGGGCGCCAUGGGCGCCACUUCCUCCUUCCUGACCCCGUCCGCCCUGCUGGGGCCAUCCCUGUGCCCCUGCGCUGCAGCCUGCUCCCAGCCCCGCUGGGGAGCCCCCGCAGCGCCUCAGCUAGGACCUAACACUGUUUUCACUACCGAAAUAUGAGGCCAUAGAACUCUGACAGGCAGCGUGGUGUCCGGCAUGCGGCGCCGCCCCGAAGCCAUUGGAAGCAUCGACAGGGCCACACUGGCCUCGCCACGCAGCCAGCGCACCCGCCGCCGGGCACCCCUUUUCUUUCAAAGAACAGCCUUAAUCAUCCCACUUUGAUUUCUGUGUAUACCUCAUCCGCACUGGGGGGGGCACGGGGCAUCGUUGAGGGGGGGUUCCUUUUUUCUCAGUUUCUCUGGGUUCAUUUUAUUUUGGUUUUGGGUUUCUUGUUUUGUUUUUUUUUAAACUUUAUACCAAAUCCUCUUCCCUCUUUGCUUUGUGCGAUGAGUUAGCACACGGGCUGUCGUCUGUAGAAGCAAUAGAGUGCAGGAGGCUACAAAAGAGCACAAAUCCCGUGGAACAAGAUCAGGAGAGCUUUGCCUCCGGCAGUAUCCUUCCUCUUACUGUGCAAUCCAAGUCCUUCUCAAGCCAUUUCGUGGGGACACGGGGACAGCCAGCGUGGCAGCCGGUGGCCAAAGUCUGCUUUGCCCUACCAGGAGGGGAUUCCCAGGGAGGGGGAGGCAGCCCAAGGAGGGGGCUCGCCAGCAUACAGCCUGCAACCCGCCGCCUCCCCACGCUGGUGGCACCCCCUUGGUGCCCCCUGUGGCAGGUGGCAGCCGCCCUUUCGCCCACCUGAUGUUCUAUGCAACGAAAUAACACGACUCCAGAACAAGACCUGUGAAUAGCUCAUCGGUUCACUGUCGCGCCUAAGGGUUUCAUCGCAACGCCAGCCGCCAAGCAACCUGAUAACUACUCUUUACCAACCACCCGUGCGUAUGAAUUUGUGGCAUGUUCGACCCACAGAGGGCCACUUUGCCAAAGGGCAGCCCUAGCACCCGUGACCGUCUGUCCCGUCGUAAAGCAUGGCUUGCUACUUCUCUGCACGGUUCCACCUGCCUUUCAGAGCUUGCUGUUCUUUGCCUGGACUUUUCUUUUUUUCUUUUCCAUAAGUCCAUCACUGUACUGAAAGCUCUUAGCAGAUUUAUGCACUUGUUAUCGAGGCCCCAAUUACUGUGGGAAGCCCACAUGCUGUGGCAGGUCCCUCACAGGGGCUCUGCCCAUGUCCAAGGCUGGGGGGAGGCCUGUGGCUGUGGGACGGGGGCAGUUGUUGCAGGGAGGAGACCCCUGGCCCCGUGCACGCUCAUGGCCUCUCCCUGCUGAUGACAGGUGCAUAGCCUGAGGGUGCCUCCUUCGGGCUCCUGGCCCCCACCGCUCCUUCCGCUGUAAAUAAUUGUACAGUGUGUAAAUCGCACGCGGGACUGAGACCCCCGCCGGGGCCCAUCUCGCCACCCAAGCACAUCUGCCACCUCACCUCUGUGCCCACAGGGACCAGGGGGUACAUAGCCCACCCAGCUGGGCCAGGCCCCCAGCCUGAAUUGAGGCAGUCUGCCAGCUGGGGAGGGGGGGCAGGGGGUGCGAAGACGAAGGGCUGAGCGCGGCCGAGCGCCAUUUCCAGCGGUCAGUGUGAUGCCGGGUGCGCUCCCUCUGAACAUUGUGACGGUGUGCGUGUCUGCUGUGCUCUGUGCCACCCGUAGUGACCCUGUACUGUGCCGUACCGUGCCGUACCACCCCCGCCACUGUGUCGUGACUCCCUCCCAGAAGCUGCCCCCUCACCAGGUGUUUCUGUGGGAACAGAAUAAAAAGGACUUGACAC